rnacentral:rRNA from 1 species
UGGGGAAUCUUCCGCAAUGGGCGAAAGCCUGACGGAGCAACGCCGCGUGAGUGAAGACGGCCUUCGGGUUGUAAAGCUCUGUUAUUCGGGAAGAAAGGCUCGGUUGUGAACAAUGACGGAGAUUGACGGUACCGAAAGAGAAAGCCACGGCUAACUACGUGCCAGCAGCCGCGGUAAUACGUAGGUGGCAAGCGUUGUCCGGAAUUAUUGGGCGUAAAGAGCGCGCAGGCGGUUAUAUAAGUCUGUCUUAAAAGUGCGGGGCUUAACCCCGUGAGGGGACGGAAACUGUAUGACUAGAGUAUCGGAGAGGAAAGUGGAAUUCCUAGUGUAGCGGUGAAAUGCGUAGAGAUUAGGAAGAACACCGGUGGCGAAGGCGACUUUCUGGACGAAGACUGACGCUGAGGCGCGAAAGCGUGGGGAGCAAACAGGAUUAGAUACCCUGGUAGUCCACGCCGUAAACGAUGGGUACUAGGUGUAGGAGGUAUCGACUCCUUCUGUGCCGGAGUUAACGCAAUAAGUACCCCGCCUGGGGAGUACGGUCGCAAGACUA